GAUGAACGCUGGCGGCGUGCCUAAUACAUGCAAGUCGAGCGAACGGACGAGAAGCUUGCUUCUCUGAUGUUAGCGGCGGACGGGUGAGUAACACGUGGAUAACCUACCUAUAAGACUGGGAUAACUUCGGGAAACCGGAGCUAAUACCGGAUAAUAUUUUGAACCGCAUGGUUCAAAAGUGAAAGACGGUCUUGCUGUCACUUAUAGAUGGAUCAGCGCUGCAUUAGCUAGUUGGUAAGGUAACGGCUUACCAAGGCAACGAUGCAUAGCCGACCUGAGAGGGUGAUCGGCCACACUGGAACUGAGACACGGUCCAGACUCCUACGGGAGGCAGCAGUAGGGAAUCUUCCGCAAUGGGCGAAAGCCUGACGGAGCAACGCCGCGUGAGUGAUGAAGGUCUUCGGAUCGUAAAACUCUGUUAUUAGGGAAGAACAUAUGUGUAAGUAACUGUGCACAUCUUGACGGUACCUAAUCAGAAAGCCACGGCUAACUACGUGCCAGCAGCCGCGGUAAUACGUAGGUGGCAAGCGUUAUCCGGAAUUAUUGGGCGUAAAGCGCGCGUAGGCGGUUUUUUAGUCUGAUGUGAAAGCCCACGGCUCAUUCGUGGAGGGUCAUUGGAAACUGGAAAACUUGAGUGCAGAAGAGGAAAGUGGAAUUCCAUGUGUAGCGGUGAAAUGCUCAGAGAUAUGGAGGAACACCAGUGGCGAAGGCGACUUUCUGGUCUGUAACUGACGCUGAUGUGCGAAAGCGUGGGGAUCAAACAGGAUUAGAUACCCUGGUAGUCCACGCCGUAAACGAUGAGUGCUAAGUGUUAGGGGGUUUCCGCCCCUUAGUGCUGCAGCUAACGCAUUAAGUACUCCGCCUGGGGAGUACGACCGCAAGGUUGAAACUCAAAGGAAUUGACGGGGACCCGCACAAGCGGUGGAGCAUGUGGUUUAAUUCGAAGCAACGCGAAGAACCUUACCAAAUCUUGACAUCCUUUGACAACUCUAGAGAUAGAGCCUUCCCCUUCGGGGGACAAAGUGACAGGUGGUGCAUGGUUGUCGUCAGCUCGUGUCGUGAGAUGUUGGGUUAAGUCCCGCAACGAGCGCAACCCUUAAGCUUAGUUGCCAUCAUUAAGUUGGGCACUCUAAGUUGACUGCCGGUGACAAACCGGAGGAAGGUGGGGAUGACGUCAAAUCAUCAUGCCCCUUAUGAUUUGGGCUACACACGUGCUACAAUGGACAAUACAAAGGGCAGCGAAACCGCGAGGUCAAGCAAAUCCCAUAAAGUUGUUCUCAGUUCGGAUUGUAGUCUGCAGCUCGACUACAUGAAGCUGGAAUCGCUAGUAAUCGUAGAUCAGCAUGCUACGGUGAAUACGUUCCCGGGUCU
rnacentral:rRNA from 1 species